CCUACGGGUGGCAGCAGUGAGGAAUAUUGGUCAAUGGACGAGAGUCUGAACCAGCCAAGUAGCGUGAAGGAUGACUGCCCUAUGGGUUGUACACUUCUUUUAUAUGGGAAUAAAACGUUCCACGUGUGGGAUUUUGUAUGUACCAUAUGAAUAAGGAUCGGCUAACUCCGUGCCAGCAGCCGCGGUAAUACGGAGGAUCCGAGCGUUAUCCGGAUUGAUUGGGUUUAAAGGGAGCGUAGGUGGAUUGUUAAGUAAGUUGUGAAAGUUUGCGGCUCAACCGUAAAAUUGCAGUUGAAACUGGCAGUCUUGAGUACAGUAGAGGUGGGCGGAAUUCGUGGUGUAGCGGUGAAAUGCUUAGAUAUCACGAAGAACUCCGAUUGCGAAGGCAGCUCACUGGACUGCAACUGACACUGAGGCUCGAAAGUGUGGGUAUCAAACAGGAUUAGAUACCCGGGUAGUC
rnacentral:rRNA from 1 species